UAUUUAUUUAUUUAUAGUCCCAGCAAGGAAUGAACCCAGAGAUUGCCUCUGUACCAGCCAGCACCCCUGUUAGGCUCCUCAGGGUUAGAUUCCUGGCUCUGAGGCAGUCUACUCAAGCUUGAACAGCAGACCGCAGAUCCUGGAGAAGGCCCAGGAGGUGGCUGUGACCCCCAGGCAUUCCCAGGACCCUUUCCGAGGACCUCCUGCAUCAAACUAGCAUGGUGAGAACUCUUGUUAGCUCUCACCUCCGCCAGGAGGAAGGAGAGGCGGGGCUUGCCUCUGAGAUGGGAGGGGCUUUGGCCUUUUCUGGCUGGAAGGAUCCUUUCAUGCUUCAAGGACCAGGGAGGAAGCAGCCAUUCCUAAACCAAGGGAUGGUGCCAACCAGGGGCUGAUGUCUCCCUGUGGAGAAGGGGAGGAGACAGCAGACACCCACUUGGUACACGUGAGCAAGGUGCAUGGGAAAGGUCGCGACGCUCAGGGACAUCACAGGUCACGCGGGGAAAGGCCACGCCUCUUCCUUAGCCCACCCGGCUCCUGGGCCUGUGGCCUGUGACUAGCUAGGGGUCAGCACCCGAGGGUGGGCUGCCUUGGGGAGGGGAGAUCCACUCAGCUUUCCCUACGGUUUCUUGAGCAUGCAGGCAAGACUGGACCUCUUGAUGUGUUCCCAAAAGAGAGGAGAAAAAAGUGAUCCCUGGUUUGCACUGUGUUUGAGGUGGGGCAUGCCCCAAAUUCAAGGCUGCUCUGUGUGAGCUGGGAGGAAGGCUCCUUAGAGCAAAGCUUUGCUGGGAACCGGCACAGCUCACAGGCUCUGACUGCUUCUCUGGAACUCAUGGCUGCUGGAAACUUGUCCUCCCCCCACCUUGGAGCUCUCCCCAGGUAAGUACACUGUGGCUGUCUUCAGACACUCCAGAAGAGGGCACGAGGUCUCACUGCAGAUGGUUGUGAGCCACCAUGUGGUUGCUGGGAUUUGAACUCGGGAUCUUCAGAAGAGCAGUCAGUGCUCUUACCCACUGAGCCAUCUCUCCAGCCCCCGGGGUGAGGCCUCUUGAGCUCCCAAACAUUACAGAAAACCACAGCCAAUCAAACUGCAGAAUUAUGGAACCAAGGCCAACUGACAAAUCUACGACACAACUCCUGUACCCAAGGCUCAGGAAUCACUGGGAAAGAUGGGUAGGUUCAGGGAGUUUGCUGUGAGAUUGUGUCCCCUAGAAAUGCCGGAAGCUGCACUCACAGAGUCUCACCAACAUGGCUGCCUAACAGGGACCCUUCCCUCUCCUUUCAUGGUAGAUGAUGAGAAACAAGAAGACACAGGUCCAUGAUGGUAAAGUUUCCAGAAGACCCUCUGGAGAAGGAGACAAUAUGUUCCUUUUGCGUACAAGUGGAUGGUUGGUAGCAAAGGCGCCCACAGACCAGGUCUUUCUCCAGUGGGAUAGCUGACCCACUAGCUUUAGAAGGGAACAAUUGAUAUUUUUUUGCACAUGGGCUUCACAUAAAUAUAAACUGAAGGAUAGAAGAAGUGCCCUCUACUGGUGGCGGUGGCCAACGCCUUUAAUCCCAGCACUCUGAGCCAGCCUGAUUUACAGUGAGUUCCAGGACAGCCAGGGCAGAGAAACCCUGUUUUGAAAAACAAAAAAGCAAAAAAAAAAAAAAAAACCAAAAAAACCCAAAAAAAAAACCCCAACCAACCAACCAAACAAAAACCCACAACCAAAACAACAAAAUAAAACAACAAAAAAACCCCAAAACAACCCAAAUGUGGGCUGUAAUGGGAAAUGCAGAGUGUGUAAAGCCAUCGGGUUGGAAUCCCACUGCUGCCCCCAUUGCCGACCAUGGGCUGAGCACUCAAUGAACUGGCUCUUGCCGGAUGAAGCUCUAGAGGCUGUUGGCUGUCCUAUCAAUCUUGACUUCUGCCCAGUGUCAAUAAAGGAAGGACCUUCAGGAAAGACCCCAGAGGCAGCAGAGGCCGCAGCAGGUGUAGCCGAGACCACUCACUGCUGCAGGGGGUUCUGAGCUCCUGGGCUGACACCCGGGUUCUGGCUCCCCAAGGUGAAGUGUGUGUAGCAUCUAGUUUCCCUGUUCCUGGUGCUGCUGAUCUACCUCAGCACCUUGACCUGCGCCUGGCCCAGUCACUGUGGCCAGCGGUCGGUCACUGGAGGCUACUGUUAUCCUGAUGUCCAGCAUCCUCCUCAAAGGUGCGCACUGGCUGCGCCGUGACCUUCUGUUUUGAUGAUCCUUGGCAGUAUGGCCACUUCUUAGUCUCAAUUAGACACCCCUGCCGCACUGGGGGUGGCGUUGAAGAGUCACCCUCUUUGACUACUCUGUAUGGGUGCUACUUGUUGCAGGCUCAAACUGUGGUUUCGAGGUUGUGUGUGAGGUAUGACAGGAAAGUGGAUAGGAACAGCCCGGUUCUGGUGAAAACUCUCAAGAGUAGCAACAGCCCAAAUUCAGGUCCUGCAUAUGUCUAAGGGACCCAUGGGCACUGCAUGCAACCUGUUUUUGGUGGGUGACACUAGGCUCAGGACCAAGCCACAGGUAUAUAGCCUGCACAGCCAGGAGCUGUCUCCCCCUAAGCCUUCAUACGGCUAAUUCAGGACCAGACAGGAAUGUGAUGGGCACAGGAGGGAAGCUAUGUUCGAAAGCUAAUAGAGCUGGCAGCUGUGGCUGGCGAUGGGCUGGUGCUCCAGUUCCUAUGGGAUUUCUGUAAACCAUUAACACUUGAACAUUUCUUACUUGUUGGGUGGGUGGCUGGAUUCCAGAAUAAGGCAGACCCCAAAAUCUGGACUCAUAAGAUUCUGGCCCCUGCCUCUGCCUUGGCAUUUGUCUGGCAGCUGCUGUCCUGAAGCUGUUGGCAUCCUGUGUCUAGCUCCUGCUCUGUGAAUUCUCAUCACUGGAAAUGUCUUAGCCUUGCAUUCUGAGAUCAUUGUGUGGAGGGAGCAGAGCAGGCCUUGUUGUGUGCUGAGGGAACUCGGUGAAUGGGGCACUGGUCCCUCUGGGCUCAUGUGGCUUUACUGUUUUAAGGAGUGAUGGUGAGAUCAAAUGUCUUGGUAGCCAUGAAGACCCGGACUGUAGCCCUUGCAGGGAAGGACAAGAGCGGGAUGCAGGCCCAAGAGAGGCUCAAGGAGGGGACCAUGGACCAGCAGGGACUGAGCCAUGGGCAAGCACACACUCCACUGUUCUCCCUGGGACAGACUAGACUGACCCGCAGCUUCUGUUGUUAUCAGGCUGCAGCUGUCCAGGGUAGACCAGGGUCUGUGGGUAGGAGGAGCAGCCCUGACCCCGUCCUCCUGGCUUUCUGACUCUACCUCACUGCAUAUGGUCCCAAGAUCAACGCUGAGCGGACUUCCCAAACUCAGGACAGAGUUUCUCUCCCCCUCUCUCUCCCCACUACACCUAACUAGAUACACAUGCACACACACACACACACACACACACACACCUACAUCUUGGCUUUCUUCUGUGGGGAGGCAUGCUUCCAAGCCCCCUGGGACAUUUCCCUUGCAGAUGGAGGACUCUGACCCACCUGCGUUCAGAGCCUUCUCUUUAUCAGAGAAGCCCGAGGACUGAGAUUUCCAGGCUGUCUGCCUCCAUUUGCAGAUACACAGAUUGACUGUGGGUAGAGUCUGCUUCUGAGGGUGGCCAGGGAGUCUCGGGUUAGACACUGGCAAAGGCAGGUGCUUCUGUCAGUUUGUGGGUGUUCCCUGCCACUUGCCUGUGAAUAGUGCAUUUAAAGACUCUCAAAGAAAACUCUUCUGUCUCUUGUCAAUCCCUAUUGUCAUUGUGGGCCAUCCCUGGGCUGGUGGUCCUGGGUUCUAUAGGAAAGCUAGCUGAGGAAGCCAACCAGUAAGCAGCCCCCCUCCGCGGCCUUUGCAUCAGCUUCUGUCUCCGGGUUUCUGCCCUAUUUGAGUCCCUGACUUCCUUCAAUAAUGAACAGUGCUCUGGAAGGGUAAGCCAGAGAAACCCUUUCUUCCCCUGGGAACUUGCUUUUGGUCACAGUGUUUAUCGCAACAGUAACCUUAACUAAGACAAGGGAGAAGAUGAGUACAGGGUACAGGGUCUGUGCAGUUACACACGGCUUGUAAAGGAUCUAGAAAGUCCAACGCACUGACGGCAAACCUCUUUAAUUAAUGCAGUUAUUGGUCUACUUUUCAUAACAAGUAUAAGGCCUGGCUUAAAAAUAAACUGUAGUUUAAUCCAAGUCUAUUGAGGUCUUAGAUUUUUGGCUAAGCUUUAUCUAACUACUGCUCAGCGGUUAAAAGCACUGGUGUAAGUGCCCAUCUGGGUGCCCAGUGGCCACACCUGGAGGCCCUGCCACUGUGGUCAGAGGAGUUAAAAGGGAGAAUUGCCCUUUCCCUUGGAGGUCAGGGUCCUCCAGGGGACUUUGGGGUGUGACUGGGGGAUCACCUGUUCUCUUGUUCAUGGAGGUUUUGGAGACACCACCUGGUGAGUGCUUCCUCGUGUCCUGUUCUCUUGUUCAUGGAGGUUUUGGAGACACCACCUGGUGAGUGCUUCCUCGUGUCCGAUUUACAAACACGAGAGUCAGCAGAGAAUUUCCUCCAUGCUUCCAAGAGAAGCCACUGCCAAGCAAGGUCUUUGACUUAUUUAUCCUCAUGGAGAUGGAACAAGUGUCAAAGCCAAGCCAGAAGUGCCAGAGGUUCCUCUCAAAACUCCUGUGAGCCCUAAGGACCAGAGCCCCCGGAGGCGUGGACAGUAAGGAGUAGGCAAUGAUCUGGUGACCCGCAAGGUCCUGAAGCCUCAACAGGAAAGCAGGACUGGAGACGGACAUGGUGGUCCUUGCGUCUCCUUUCUGUCCUACUCUUCCUAGACAGGGUCACACCCUGGCUGGUCUGGAACUUGCUAAGUAGACCAGGCUGGCCUCAAACUCACAGAGCUCCUCGUCUCUCUGCUUCCUGGGUGCUGACUGGUGUGUUUCUUUAGUCAAAGAUCACACUCCUGAGUACGGACAGUAUUCCCUAGACAUUAGGCUUAAAUCCGCAUCAGACAGCUUUUAGGCAACUAUUUCCUACUCAUUAUCUCAAUGAGAAAAAUGCUGCCCAGAUGUGGGACAUCAUGAGUUUGGCUUGAUUCCACACGGCAGUGCCUAACUGUAGCCUAGACAGGCCCACGGUUUAAACCUAAAGGGGGAAAAAAACCAAAUGAUGGUCAGAUUUUUUUCUAAAAGCCACCUGGAAGGGACCUCACACUGAUUCUAGCCACUGCACCAGCGGGCCAAGUUCCUGAAAGUGGAUUCUGGGUUCAUCAUUCUCAAGUGCAGCCUUGGGGACCAAACGUUGCUUUCUCAGAGUCUGAAAGAGAAGGUCUAUAACUGGUCAGUUGGACUAACCUACCCACUAGGACUUACAGAGCCCACUUGUGAUUUGAGUAGGUAUGGCCCCCAUAGACUCGUGUGUGUGUGUGUGUGUGUGUGUGUGUGUGUGUGUGUAAGAGAGAGUGUGUGACUGGCCAGUAGGGAGUGAUACUAGUAGGAGUGGCCUCGUUGGAGGACGUGGAGGCUCUGAGGUCAAGGGAGGCCUGGUACAGCAGUCUCCUGCAGAUCAAGGUGUAGAACUCUCAGCUCCUUCUCAAACACACCAUGCCUGCCUGCACUCUGCCAUGCUCCCUGCCAUGACCGUAAUGGACUGAACUCUAAAACUGGAAGCCAGCCCCAAUUAAAUGUCGUCCUUUAAAAGCGUUGCCAUGGUCAUGGUAUCUCUUCACAGCAAGAAACCCUAAGAUGCCACUUUUAUCUGGACUGUCCUUGGCUCGGGAUCUAACAGAAGAAAAUGGACACCUAGGCCAGUUAGUCUUAUACACUUAGGGAUGAUGUUGGAGGGCAAGGCUUAACAUGAGCUCUGAAUGGACCCAAUCCAUCAUCUCAGGAUGCACUUCAGGAUGUGUGACUACAGCCCACAGAAGUGGCCCCAGGAGCUUGCUUCAUAAGAGUCCCCUCUUGCUUGGACUAAUAUUCCCUAGCACAAAGCAGCCGCAGUGGCCAUGUCUCCUCCUCUGACAGCAGCAGCCACAGUGGCCAUGCCUCCUCCUCUGACAGCAGCUGGUGUUGAAGGAGAGUUAGGAGGACACAGACAGUUAGGAAGUGCCACGGGCUCCCUGGGAUGACCUGGAACAGUGGAAGCCACGGGGUUAAGUACUAAACAGGACCAGCAGGGGAACCUUAGAGAACACCCAAGCCAGAGACUUCUCAGCUCCUAGGGCCAGUCCUAGAAGGGUUAUCACGGCUGUGAUCAAACACUAUGACCAAAUAACGGUCAUAAUGUCCUCAGCCCGGCCUGAGGGUGGGGCACAGGGCAGACUCGAGUGCCAGCAGCGUCGCACAAGGUAGGGAGUAAACGGUGUAUCUGGCCUAUGCUCCCACAGCCCUGUUCAUCAUUGAAGGAAGUCAGCCCAGACAGGAACUCAAGCUGGCCAGGAACCUGGAGGCAGAGGCUGAUGCAGAGGCCACGGAGGAGUGAGUGCCCCUUGCUGACUUGUUCCCCAGGACCACGAGCCCAGGGCUGGCCCCGCCCAUUCUAAAGCGGCUAUCUUUGAUUUUCUCUGUGGCUUGGUCACCUGUUCUCCCAAAUGUUUUUGUUUUCCGAAUUUUUGGAGACAGGGUUUCUUCUCUGGGUAGGCCCAGCUGUCCUGGAACUCUGUGGACCAGGUUGGUCUGAAACUCAGAGACCCACCUGCCUCUGCCGAGAUUAAAGGUGUGCACUGCCAUCCAGCUCCAUGUUUUAACUCUUGGUCUGACAUUUUGUCUGUGGCAGAGAAUAAGCUCACUGAACCCCGACUGACGGCCCCAGCGCCCCUCCGGACCGUCCUCACUGACCUGCCACACUGGAGCCCUCAGUGAGUACCAGGAACAGCUCACCUCAGCCAGUCGCUGUCCUCAGGAAAGCUGACUCCUGGAGUAUGGGGGGCAGGUCCUGCUGGCCAGGCCUUGGUGUGCAUGUGGCCCGGUGGCCCCGUGGCUAGCCUGACUUACUGGCUUGUGCACGCUCUGCUGGGCUCUCAGGCAUACCGUCCUCCCCAUACCUGGCCCCACCUUUCCUUUAGUGCUGCUUCUGUUCAGACGGAGACACCGGCUCCUCUUUCUGCAGCAGCUUCUUAGUGGGAUCUGCAAGCCUGGCAAAGCACCUGGGCAGACUCGCCUGUCAGGGCAGAGGUGCCAUGGCUAUGUCCCCUUAGCAUCUUAGAGGAAGGCAUAAUGGGUGACAUCACUAUCAGACAAACCCCUGAGAACUUUAAAACUGCUGCCUUCUGCUUUAUUGACAGGUAAAUUGUUCAAAAUUGUUCUCACAAUUCAAUAAUUACAAAGACUCAGACUUACAUUAAAAAAG